rnacentral:rRNA from 1 species
ACGUGGGUAACCUGCCUUAUAGUGGGGGAUAGCCUUUCGAAAGGAAGAUUAAUACCGCAUAAGAUUGUAGUAUCGCAUGAUAUAGCAAUUAAAGGAGCAAUUCGCUAUAAGAUGGACCCGCGUCGCAUUAGCUAGUUGGUGAGGUAAUGGCUCACCAAGGCGACGAUGCGUAGCCGACCUGAGAGGGUGAACGGCCACAUUGGGACUGAGACACGGCCCAGACUCCUACGGGAGGCAGCAUG